CCAGGGGACCGGGCGACCGCGGCUUUCGCAAGAGAGGCGAGGAAAGUCCGGGCUCCACGGAAUAACGGUGCCGGGUAACGCCCGGCCGGGGGGUUCGCCCCUUGAGGGAAAGUGCCACAGAAAGCAUACCGCCGGUCUUCGGGCCGGUAAGGGAGAAAGGGUGCGGCAAGAGCGCACCGCGCGGGUGGCAACAUCCGCGGCACGGCAAACCCCACCGGGUGCAAGACCGAAUAGGGGCGGCACAUGGGCCUGUUCCGGCUCGUCGCCCGGGUUGGUCGCUGGAGGCGAAGGGCAACCUUCGUCCUAGAGGAAUGGUCGCCCAGGUGCCUUGAAGGCGCUGGACAGAACCCGGCUUACAGGUCCCCUGGCAAA
rnacentral:RNase_P_RNA from 1 species